AACUACAAAGCUAGAGUUUGGUCGGGGCAGAGGGAAUUCCUGGUGUAGCGGUGAAAUGCGUAGAUAUCAGGAAGAACACCAGUGGCGAAGGCGCUCUGCUAGGCCGAGACUGACACUGAGGGACGAAAGCUAGGGGAGCGAAUGGGAUUAGAUACCCCAGUAGUCCUAGCCGUAAACGAUGGAUACUAGGCGUAGCUCGUAUCG
rnacentral:rRNA from 1 species